rnacentral:rRNA from 1 species
AAUGGACGUUGGCGGCGUGGAUUAGGCAUGCAAGUCGAGCGAGAACCCCGCAAGGGGGGACAGCGGCGAAAGGGACAGUAAUGUGUAGAUUAUCUGCCCUCAGGUCCGGGAUAGCUGCGGGAAACUGCAGGUAAUACCGGAUAACAUCUCCGGAUCAAAGGUGUGAUUCCGCCUGAGGAUGAGUCUGCAUCCUAUUAGCUAGUUGGUGGGGUAAUGGCCUACCAAGGCAUUGAUGGGUAGCAGGUGUGAGAGCACGACCUGCGUCAUUGGGACUGAGACACUGCCCAGACACCUACGGGUGGCUGCAGUCGAGAAUCUUCGGCAAUGGGCGCAAGCCUGACCGAGCGACGCCGCGUGUGGGAUGAAGGCCUUCGGGUUGUAAACCACUGUCAGAGGGGAUGAAAUGCAGGUGGGUUCUCCCAUCUGUUUGACAUAGCCUCAGAGGAAGGACGGGCUAAGUUCGUG